AAAUUGAAGAGUUUGAUCAUGGCUCAGAUUGAACGCUGGCGGCAGGCCUAACACAUGCAAGUCGAGCGGUAGCACAGAAGAGCUUGCUCUUUGGGUGACGAGCGGCGGACGGGUGAGUAAUGUCUGGGAAACUGCCUGAUGGAGGGGGAUAACUACUGGAAACGGUAGCUAAUACCGCAUAACCUCGCAAGAGCAAAGAGGGGGACCUUCGGGCCUCUCGCCAUCAGAUGUGCCCAGAUGGGAUUAGCUAGUAGGUGAGGUAAUGGCUCACCUAGGCGACGAUCCCUAGCUGGUCUGAGAGGAUGACCAGCCACACUGGAACUGAGACACGGUCCAGACUCCUACGGGAGGCAGCAGUGGGGAAUAUUGCACAAUGGGCGCAAGCCUGAUGCAGCCAUGCCGCGUGUGUGAAGAAGGCCUUCGGGUUGUAAAGCACUUUCAGCGAGGAGGAAGGCGGUAAGGUUAAUAACCUUAUCGAUUGACGUUACUCGCAGAAGAAGCACCGGCUAACUCCGUGCCAGCAGCCGCGGUAAUACGGAGGGUGCAAGCGUUAAUCGGAAUGACUGGGCGUAAAGCGCACGCAGGCGGUCUGUUAAGUUGGAUGUGAAAUCCCCGGGCUUAACCUGGGAACUGCAUUCAAAACUGACAGGCUAGAGUCUUGUAGAGGGGGGUAGAAUUCCAGGUGUAGCGGUGAAAUGCGUAGAGAUCUGGAGGAAUACCGGUGGCGAAGGCGGCCCCCUGGACAAAGACUGACGCUCAGGUGCGAAAGCGUGGGGAGCAAACAGGAUUAGAUACCCUGGUAGUCCACGCUGUAAACGAUGUCGAUUUGGAGGUUGUGCCCUUGAGGCGUGGCUUCCGGAGCUAACGCGUUAAAUCGACCGCCUGGGGAGUACGGCCGCAAGGUUAAAACUCAAAUGAAUUGACGGGGGCCCGCACAAGCGGUGGAGCAUGUGGUUUAAUUCGAUGCAACGCGAAGAACCUUACCUACUCUUGACAUCCAGAGAAUUAGCUAGAGAUAGCUGAGUGCCUUCGGGAACUCUGAGACAGGUGCUGCAUGGCUGUCGUCAGCUCGUGUUGUGAAAUGUUGGGUUAAGUCCCGCAACGAGCGCAACCCUUAUCCUUUGUUGCCAGCGAUUCGGUCGGGAACUCAAAGGAGACUGCCGGUGAUAAACCGGAGGAAGGUGGGGAUGACGUCAAGUCAUCAUGGCCCUUACGAGUAGGGCUACACACGUGCUACAAUGGCGUAUACAAAGAGAAGCGACCUCGCGAGAGUAAGCGGACCUCAUAAAGUACGUCGUAGUCCGGAUUGGAGUCUGCAACUCGACUCCAUGAAGUCGGAAUCGCUAGUAAUCGUAGAUCAGAAUGCUACGGUGAAUACGUUCCCGGGCCUUGUACACACCGCCCGUCACACCAUGGGAGUGGGUUGCAAAAGAAGUAGGUAGCUUAACCUUCGGGAGGGCGCUUACCACUUUGUGAUUCAUGACUGGGGUGAAGUCGUAACAAGGUAACCGUAGGGGAACCUGCGGUUGGAUCACCUCCUUACCAAGAAG
rnacentral:rRNA from 1 species